UACGGAGGAUCCAAGCGUUGUCCGGAAUCAUUGGGUUUAAAGGGUCCGUAGGCGGUUUAAUAAGUCAGUGGUGAAAGCCCAUCGCUCAACGGUGGAACGGCCAUUGAUACUGUUAGACUUGAAUUAUUAGGAAGUAACUAGAAUAUGUAGUGUAGCGGUGAAAUGCUUAGAGAUUACAUGGAAUACCAAUUGCGAAGGCAGGUUACUACUAAUUGAUUGACGCUGAUGGACGAAGGCGUGGGUAGCGAACAGG
rnacentral:rRNA from 1 species